UAGGAGGAUCUGCUCCAUGAUCUUCCCAGGCACAGAGAUGAGGCUCACGGGUCUGUAGUUCCCCAGGUCAUCCUUUCUCCCUUUCUUAAAAAUGGGAGUAAUGUUUCCCUUUCUCCAGUCACGAGGGACUUCACCGCCUCACUUUCUUUUAAUGGAGUAUCGUAACAUAUAGUGGAGUAACUGAACAUUUUUAUUUACCUGUGCUGGAGGAAUAGCAUCUCAAACUUAAAAGCUAGUAACUAUGCCACUGAGCUUUUGUUGUCUCUGCAAACACUGUGUGCUGUUCAAAAUACCUGCAUCAGUUACUGGGGAAGAGUGAGCUUUGCUGUUUCUUGGGACCAUUGAAACUUGCAUCUCUUGCAGCCUGAAUUAAGUCUUAGUUACAUAAAGGUUUAGAUGUUUUUAAUAGGCACAGCGACUGUGAAAAAUGCUAUUAAAACACCUGAAGCUGAGUGUCUUGGAAAUCUUUGCAGGCUUUCUCAGUUCUAAACUAUAACACAAGGUGGCAGUGUAUGUCAUUACUAGUACCUUCGAUGUCUGACCUAAAAUUGGGGCACGGAGUGGAAAAAUGAGUUGAUGUCAUGUGACCAAACGAUGGUGCAGAUUCCAUCUUCUCUAGAUUAGGAAAGCUUUGAAGAAUAUUGAGUUAUUUUUAAUGGUGCUAGAAAGCACCUUAUAGUUUCCGCUAAUAAACUGGGAAAAAAGUAGUCUUAAUUUUUGUUAACAAAGAUGUUAUGAGUGACACGUGACUAUGACAUCCUUUUCUUUAUUUUGAAAUCUUUGAUUAGGAGAACAGAAGGAAUUCUUGUGCAAAGGGAAUAUAUGUCUGCAUUAAUAAUCUUUUCCAAAAAUAACUGCCUGAAGCUUCAUUGUGUGUUAAUCAGUAUAACUGAUGUGAUUGCAUGCAGUGCACAGAAAGCACAUAGAACAAAUCUGAGUGGAUCUGGUGUCGUUGCACCUUGAUAAGAACUUAAAGGCAAGUCAUGACUUUCUCAGUUCUUAAUGAAGUAAAGAUAAGUGCAGAGCGGUCUGGGAGCCACGAGAUUGAAAAGUAAUAAACUCAGUUCUACGAGUUUUGUGGCCUUGGGCAAAUGAGUUAAUUACUGCCACUUUAUUCAUUAAAUGGUUUUAAUAAGGACUUGUUGAAUUAUGAGCAUGUUUCUCUAGUGCCCAAGUAGUGCUGUGGAAUCUGUUUAAAUGCAGUGCUAAAACCUCUUAUUGGACACAGAAAUGCUUUGUGACUUCAGUUGUGUUAAAUCUAGAUACGGCAGAUUCAGAUGUAACUUCCAGUAGAAGAGACCUCUACAAAUACAUUAUAAUCAAGUAAAUUUCUCGCUUUUGCUGUUUUCUGAGGUAACUGUUGUUCAGAGGAAGGUUUCUUCUCUCUUUUCUUUUCUGUUUUUCCAACUGAACCAAGAAAUAACACCAGACCUCUGGCAUCAUUUCUGUUCUUCAUAUUUGUGUGUUUAGUUUCAGCUUUGCUGCAGCUUUUAGAUGUAUUGUUGGGCCUCCUCCAGCUCAGUGCUUAGAGAUAUGGAAGUAAGUAUCUGUUGAUACAGUCAAUCUACGUAAGCUGAUGAAAAAUGCAUCAGGUAAAGCUUUGUUUUUCUGUAACUGUACUGUCCAGAAGAAAUGUUAGUGUUCUGCUUACAAAGAUGGGAGUUACAAAUGGGAUUUUCAAGUGGAUAGUGUCCAAUUUCUGUCCUGUGACUUAUAGAAAUGGUAAAACAAAAAGAGAGAAGGUAUAUAUUGACCAUCUACUCUGAGUUUUUUCCAGUGUUUUUUUUGUAAACCUUCUACCAAUCUGAAUGUAUUUUUUAUCAGAAAUAUGUAAUAAUAUUGUUUCAGUAGCUAUCCUUUAUGCAGAGCCACCAAGAGAGCAGUUGGUAUGAAAUCUGGAUUUGUAACCUAAAUGUUCAUUCCAGUACAUCUGUGAUAGAAGUACAGCAAUCCACAAAUCUGCACAGAUGCAACAUAGCACGAGGGAGCAACUUGACAGUUCUUGUCUAGAAAUCAUUAGAAGACUAACUUCUGAUGAGCACAUGGUAAUCUUGUGUCAACAGCUGCCUUCGUUUUCCUCACUAGUUUUCCUGAAAGGUGAACAAUGAACUCAAGCCAACAUCUUUUUGACAGGCCCUAAUAGCAAUAAAAUGAUCAAUAUCAAAGUCAAAAUAUCAAAUGCGUUAACUGGCAAAGAACGUAUAGGAAGCUAACAUUUUUGCUAGAAAAUACUUAUAUCCAGCUUGUCAUUAUUAUAAAAGAAAGCGGUAGGCAGGUGUAGUACCCACAGAGAAAAAAGGGUGCAUAGUAUUAUAUAGUAAAAUUAAUAAAAUACUGUAGUGAUGAACUCGUAUGUGAUUAUCUGCGACUUACAUUAUGUGAACUAGCAUGCAUUCCACAUAAAGUAUGUCACAGCUUAUGCAAGUUUGAUUUUUCUGAGGGAAAGAUGUCUAGGCUUGCUUUCCAAUUUUGGUUUCCUCUAAGCAGACUGUUGACUCAAAUCAAGUUAACAUAAUGGUUUGGGAUGGUAGUCUUGUGCAUGCAAGCAGCAUGAUGUUGUCUAAGGUUGCUUAUUUCUUAUGACUAAAGUUACAGGAUUUAAAUCCAGGGCUCUGGAGUGGCAAGUCAGGAUGUUGAACUCAUCAGACCAGAUAAGUUUAUUGUUGCCUGCUGUUGCUUCAACAGAUUGCAUGCUGCAAACCACUCAUCUACAUCAACUUACUGGAGAAUGAUUCUUUGUUAACUGUCAGCACCUAAUAAGCAAAGCCCUUUCCUUCCAAGAAAAGAAAAAAAGCGGGGGGGGGGGGGAAUCAAGUCACUCAAAAUCAGGUAUUUGGAUAUAUAUCUCACACAAUCUGCGUUCAGGACAUUUUAGAACUUUUUUGUCCAUUUGUUACUUGACCACUGACUGGAUUCUACAGAGCAGCUAAGAGCAAUUAAGUUGAGGUUUUCUGAUUUUUUAUUUGUCUUGUUUUCACAGAAUCAGAUUCACAGAAUGGCUGAGAGUAGCUGGGACUGCUGGGUUGCUCUGGUCCAUCUCCUGUCUUCAACAGGGCCACCCAGAGCAGGGUGCCCAAGCCCAUGCCCAGGAAGCUUUUGAAGCUCUUCCAAAGGGAGACCUCACAAACACUUUGGGUCCCUGUGCCAGCUCUCCACUACCUGCAUAAUAAAGAAGCAUUUCCUGAUGUUCAGAUAAACUGGAGCACUGAAGGAUCUAUUCCCUCUGCCUCUUGUCCUGGCGCUGGGCACAACUGAGAAGAGUCUGGUUCUGUCAUCCCUUCAGAGGUGCUAUUCUGUAAAAGGAGGAAAUUAUCAGUUUGACCAUGAGUAGCAGCCAGCAUGGAUUUGUUAAGAAUGAUCCACUUCCUUGCUGUCAGGUGCCAGCUCUCCUCAGGGGCGUACUGAAUAUCUUUAGCAAUGCAGAGCAGAGUCAACACUCAAAGAGCAGUUCCCAAAAUGCGUGCAGUUUGUGCAUCUACAAGUGACUUGUUCCUGCUGGUAAGGUUCAACACUACUCCAGGGGCUCAGACUAAGGCUGCUCUUGGUGACGGGAAGGGAGGCCCCAUAUCAGAGCAGCCAGGACCAAAGAUCCCUGUCCCUCUCUGGAGGUGUCUGGUUGCCACCUGCCAGUCGUAGCAGAAGAUGGCACUUAGGAAAGCUCUGUCCUUGCCACUCGGUGAGGCGGGACCAGGCCUCGCAGGAGGUGGAGUGGGUACACCAUGCUGAGAGCCAUUAAACUAGAUCUGCAUCGCUGGGGGUGAGUUCAGGUGUUGAGAAGUAGGAUGCUGAUGUGUGCACGUGUGGUCUAAUGCCCUGCCUAGUUUCCCCAUCUCUUGAUAGAUGAUGGUCAAGUGUCUGUGAGCAUGCCUCUGUGGAUGCCUGAUCUUCCUUCAGAAGCGAUGGUGGGGGUGAGGGCUGUGGGUGGCUGAGCUCCUUUCUUCACUCGUUCCCCUCUCUUAUGUGCUGUAAUGCCUUGGUCUAAGGAGAUCUGGAGCAGGUGAGAGGGGCUCAGCUGUGUCCUGAGGGAGGUGGAGGCCCUGCCCUGCGGUGCGGCCUCUCUUUAUGAGCGUCACCUUGCUUCUCUGAGCUGGGGACCCAGGUGGCUGGUGCAGGUGGCUGCUGUGGGGUGAGCUGCAGCUGGCCAUGACUGAGAAGGGCUGUGGGGGCACAGCUGGUGCCAGGCACGGCUGGUCCCUCGCCCACGAGGAGACUUGGUGGGGCCGAUGCAGGGCUCACCUCAUAACACGUGCUCCGCCUGUGAAAGCUGCCUAUGAUAUGUGUCUAUAGCCAAGAAGGUAAGGUUCCUCUUGGAGGGGGGAGGAGAUGCCUUUUGUAUCAUUACAGAUUUAGCAGAGAUUGGAUGCGUUGGUGUGGCACUGAGUGGGUGGGUGACAGCAUGAGCAGUCAGAGCCAUCCUGCUUGCUGCUGCGGCCUGGUCCCCGGGUUGGUGCUGGGAACUGGCCCAGGGAACAAGUGCAUUUAAGCUAAUCAUGCACUUCUAAUGCUGUGUUUUUGUUGGUUUGUUUUUCAGUGCCUUCUAGAAAUAAGCUUUCUCAUAACCCACCCGCUGGUCCAGUGCUAUCUGCACUGUGCUGUGGAAAUACCACGAGCUCCUGAGGAUGGGGUCAGCAGCCAUUAUGGACACCAGACAACUAGUACGGGUCAUGAAAGGUUCUUUCACCAAUGACUUCUCACCUGUAAAUGUAAAAAGAGGAGGAAAAAGUGGAUGUAAUAAUGAGAAAAGGAGAGACCACGCUGAAUGGCAGCAGGAGCAGAGGUACACCAGUGUACACAGAGCCAUUUUGAACCUCAGUGCCUUGAACAUCCAUUGGAGGAGCAGCUUCAGAAGCUCCCCUGACCUUCCUGGAGCUCUGACACCCCCAGGCAGGAUGUGCUUAGAAAGCUGCAGCGAGCGAGCUCGGCUGGGCACUGCCCUUAGCUGGGGAUGUGAGGCGCCAGGUGAGAAGCCGGAGCACACAGCAGCAGUGAGAGCUGCUUAACAUGGUAUCACUCUGCUUUGCUGCUUUGACCUAAUAAUGUGUAGGUAUUUCUCAUGCUUUAGUUUUUUAGCUGAAACUCACAGACUGGUUGCUACUGGAGCAUGCUACUAAGAAAUAUUACUGCAACAUGCUUUGAAUUCACAUUGAUUUUAUAGAAAAACAGUUUGAGACUUCUCUUUUUUUUUUUAGAAUGAGAAGCGCUGCUGUUCUGAGUACGAUGGUGUGGCAUGCUGUUUGGAAUUUCCCUUGCUUUCUAUAUAUACACAUGCAGCAAAGCCACAGGAAAUAGAAGUUUAAAAAAACAGCCAUAAAACAUAGGUAUCUUCUUGAACAAAUUUUAUUCUUGUCGUUGGUUUUAUCAUUAGUGAGCACUUAAUCUUAAGGCAUCACUUAAGGCUUGUUUUAAGAGAUCUGAUGCCCUAUAACUCAUUUGAGGGGGAAAUGCAUUGCCUUAAAGUUGCUGAAAAUUUGAGAAGAUUUUUAGGCUAUUGGUUCUGUAGUUCUGUACUUGGUGUGCUGCAGAAGGCAACUUUAUUGUUGAUCUCUCUCUUGGGGCUUUUGGGGGUGGGGACUGACUGCUGAGGUUUCUCCCAGUUGUCUCUUCUGUGAUUCAGUGAGUCACUCUUGCCUACAGUUGCUGUCAUGAUAAUGUGCUGAGGGCCUAUUUCUGCAUGGCAACCAGCAUAGUCUGGUAUUAUUAGUAAACAGCAUUUUCUUUAAAAUCCCAACCAAAAUAUAGUAUAAUUAAAUCCAGCAGCCGUGAAGACUAACUUGCCAGCACUUCAUCUGAAUCUGUGGUCUGAAAACCUUAGUGUUAGUGAGAGAGCUGCUCAGGUGCCCUGAGCCGGUCCUGGCUCUGAACUCGUGCUGCUUUGGAGAACAAAACCUGAGGAGCGUGAUUCUAAAGAGGGAGCAAUUCGCAGAGAAGGAAUGGACUUAAACAUGAAUGUAGUUGGACAAAUACACCCAGGCAUCUCUGAAUGUGUGACAGCGCAUUUGUACAAGGCCUAGAGGAGACAGUUACCUGUCUCCUUCCAGCCUCCACAGACCUACAGGGGUUACCUCUGCCUGCCUUUUAGUACUGCUCUGCUGCUCGAGAAAAGGUACUGCUCAUCAGUGCCGAGAGAUUGACAGAAAUCACAAUGGGCCUGAUAACGGGCUUUGGUUACCUUGGAUGCCUUUGGCAACUGAUGCAGCAAAUAAGGAACUGAGUUCUGUUUGGUCAUGUAGGCUUUCUGCAUGGUUUCAAGAGUCUGUGCCAUUUUACAAAUGUGUUUUCAGUGAACGAAUGUCGUACAAAUGGCUAAUGAAAGUUCAUAAAGUUUAUGCUGAUCAA